ACUUAGAAAUCUUCUUUCUAAUUAUCAAGAAGAAAAAUUAAAUUUUGGUAAUAAUCACUAAGUUCUAUCGUAAAACCUUCUUUCUAAUUACAUUAUAUACCAAGAAGAAAAAUUAGCUUUUCGACGAGCUAGGUCAAUUAAUAAUAAUUACCGUGCCAUUCUAAAAACUUACAAACCUUCUUUUAAUUAAUUUACACUGUAUACUCGAACGCACUUCUCACGAUCUCUCUUGGAUCAUCAACCAAUCGCUCAACCGAUGGUCAUUACCAAUGUUUGUUUUACAACCAAUCAGAGUUCACGUUCCUUUCGAACGGUUGAAUGGUUCGUUACGUUCGGUGUGUCGUUAAUCGAUAUCAUUCCAACGCGAGAGAGCGUGCCGAUUAAUUAGAACGACGAGAUGAUCCGCUCACGCGGCACGGAGAAACGAGGAAGCGAGCCAUCCUCGAGGAUGAUGUGGAACCAGGAAGCAGCCGGGACGAUACGAUCAAAGCCUGAUAAUUCCGACGGAACGGUUCGCCUCUUCGAUCGUUCUUCUAUUGAAAACGAGACCUCAAUUUGCUUCUUGCUAUGUGUUAAUAGCUUCUUCUGUAAUGGCUUCCUCGGACGGUGUUUAAGGGAAAAAAGUGUUGUUAGCUUGGUUAUGUGAGUUUGUAUUGGUUAAUUAUUAACAUUAAAAAAAGAAGUGGAAAAAGAUUAUGCAGUGAAAGGGAAAGGAGAUUUUUUUCAUUUUUUAGAAAAUUAAUGUAGAGAAAAUUAAAGAACGUGAUUAAAAAAUGCUAUUAUUUAAUAAUAAUAAAAGAUUGAAGGUAUAAUGUUACUUAUUGUUAAUGGAUUCUUCAUUAUAUUCGAGACGAAAUAAAUUCUUCCAUUUUUUUGACGAAUUUCCAUGUGAUUAUUUAUACUGAUUAUUAUUUAGACAAAAACACAUCAUAUUAUUUAUCUAAACGAUACGUUUUUAUAUUGUCUUAUAUAUGUACAAUGUAAAAUGAACUGAUACGAUAUGAUAUUUUGGCGGAAACAUGUUGAUAUUUUGCUUAAUAUAAUAGCGACAUUAUAUUAUCCCUAUUGCUGUUGCUACAUUAGAUACAUCACGUGACACAAUAGAACGCUCAGCAUUGGUGGAAGCCUGAUCACGUGACCUUUAUCUAAUUCAGUAAUACCCAUGAGAAUAAUGUGUGUCGUGUAUUAUCCUUUCAUGGAAAUUCGCAAGAGGAAAAUUGAGCUAUAUUUAGUAAUAAAGGGGACAGAAUACUAUUUUCAUUCUAAUCAUAGUUUCAGAUUUUCAGUAUGUUUUAUUUUUAUUCGAAAAGAUAAUUAGUUUCCCUUAUAUUUGAAAAAUUAUCAAACUUGAUUUGAAGAAAGAUAUUUUCAUAUUCUUCUUUGAUCAUAAUUUAUGAAUCGCUCGGUAUAUUCAUUCAUCUUGUGAAAAACAUUCAAAACGUAUUUAAUACAUACUUGCAUAAAAAUCCUAUUAAUGUAGUGAUAAAAAAUAAGCAAACGGAUAUUUUAAAUGUGAGUAUGCAAUUUCAAAUUUCCGAUCACGAGUUCAAAGAUCAAAUUUCAAGGAAAAAUUUUUUCAUUUGUUCGUCCAUUCGACGAACAUUUGUCUUCAGGGCAUCCUCAUUCCCGACCCAGGAAAAGCGUAUCGAAUCGGAAACAGAUUGCAUCGAGGAUAGAGUUUCCAUUCUUCGCCUGGAGAAAGAUCUGAUAAUCGGUAUUAACACGGGUCGGAUCGUAUCUGUCUCGAUACAUCCAAUGGAUACAAAGUUGGUGUAGAUGCGAUAGUUAUUAUGGAAAUCAGAAUAUUAUUCGUAAUUGAGGAAGUGGCUCAUUUUCUCGAACGAUCGAAGAAAUUGAUCUGUGAUUAGUAUUGUACACGUGGUUCUUCUUUAAAAAAAAUCGUAUUGCAGCGAAAAAAUUGGAAUUAAAAAUACUUAUAAUUUUGAGGUUAUAUGUACGUACUUAUAUAUUUAUUUUAUUCUUGGAGUUCAUAAUUGGAGAAUCUAUAAUUCAUAAGAUUCGAAUUUUUAUUAAUCAAAUCUCUCUAACUAGAUAAUUUCGAAAAAUCGAAAUCUUCUUAAUCUCUUUUUGAAUUAUAAAUUAUCGAAUCUCGUUAUCGAAGUUUGAUUGAAGUGAUACAACAAUAUAAAACAAUUACACGACACAUAUUCCAAUCACGAAGGAUCACAUAAAAUAUAACUUCAUCAAAUAAUAAAACAAGAACUACAAUAAAAUUCCAGAUGCUCGUAAACAUUGGUUUAUAGUUUUUCCCAGGACUUAGGUCGGGUGAGACCUUUGGUAUCCUUUUAUGGCCACACUAUUAUCAUGGAAUCUUGUAAAUGUUUGAACAACCAUCCCAAAGAAGUUUUAUCAUGUUGCGGCAGCAUCGCGUUGUACAUGGAACGUUUUAGUAACCAGAGACACAAAAUAAUUCACUUGAAUUCAUAAGAAAUGCACUGCCGAUAUACUCGGAACACUGGUUUAUCGGUCGGUCUGGUUCAUUAAUCUUUUACAUUUGGAAAGAUCGUUUGGCGAUUCAAUGAAUAAGCGACCUAAUGAAUUUCUUAAUUAAGAGACUUUUGUAUCUAAUUGAUUUUUGCCAAAGAUGAAAGACAAGAAUUUUUAAAGAUGAAAUUAUAGAAAAAAAAUUGUGAAAAAAUUGCUAUUUGCGGAUCAAUGAAUAAUUGAUAAUAUUUUAAACCUAAGAUUUUUAACUAAUUGUUAGAUUUGUAUUUUAGAUAAUUGGAAAUUUCUAAUCUCUAUUUUAACGUAUUAGUUUAAUAUAU